AAGGUCCUAGCCUAAUUAAGGCAUUUGGGUUGCAUUCAAAAGAUGCAGGGUAAUGUCCUGCGGAUCUUA
rnacentral:tRNA from 1 species